CACGCCGUAAACGAUGGAUACUAGCUGUUGGGAGCAAUCUCAGUGGCUAAGCGAAAGUGAUAAGUAUCCCACCUGGGGAGUACGUUCGCAAGAAUGAAACUCAAAGGAAUUGACGGGGGCCCGCACAAGCGGUGGAGCAUGUGGUUUAAUUCGAUGAUACGCGAGGAACCUUACCAAGGCUUAAAUGUAGAUUGACCGUUUUGGAAACAGAACUUUCGCAAGACAAGUUACAAGGUGC
rnacentral:rRNA from 1 species